rnacentral:tRNA from 1 species
GAGGGUAUAACUCAGUAGGGUGAGUGCUUAGUAUGCACAAGGUUCUAGGUUCAAUCCCCAGUACCUCCG